rnacentral:rRNA from 1 species
UGGGGAAUAUUGCACAAUGGGCGCAAGCCUGAUGCAGCCAUGCCGCGUGUGUGAAGAAGGCCUUCGGGUUGUAAAGCACUUUCAGCGGGGAGGAAGGCGGUGAGGUUAAUAACCUCAUCGAUUGACGUUACCCGCAGAAGAAGCACCGGCUAACUCCGUGCCAGCAGCCGCGGUAAUACGGAGGGUGCAAGCGUUAAUCGGAAUUACUGGGCGUAAAGCGCACGCAGGCGGUCUGUCAAGUCGGAUGUGAAAUCCCCGGGCUAAACCUGGGAACUGCAUUCGAAACUGGCAGGCUAGAGUCUUGUAGAGGGGGGUAGAAUUCCAGGUGUAGCGGUGAAAUGCGUAGAGAUCUGGAGGAAUACCGGUGGCGAAGGCGGCCCCCUGGACAAAGACUGACGCUCAGGUGCGAAAGCGUGGGGAGCAAACAGG